rnacentral:tRNA from 1 species
GUAUAUAUAAUUUAAAUAAAAUAUUAAACUGUGACUUUAAUUAUGAGAGUUAAAACCUCUCUGUAAACCGAG